AGUGAACGCUGGCGGUAGGCCUAACACAUGCAAGUCGAACGGCAGCACAGGAGAGCUUGCUCUCUGGGUGGCGAGUGGCGGACGGGUGAGGAAUACAUCGGAAUCUACCUUUUCGUGGGGGAUAACGUAGGGAAACUUACGCUAAUACCGCAUACGACCUACGGGUGAAAGUGGGGACCGCAAGGCCUCACGCGAUUAGA
rnacentral:rRNA from 1 species